rnacentral:rRNA from 1 species
GUAGGGAGCAAGCGUUAUCCGGAUUUAUUGGGUGUAAAGGGUACGUAGGCGGCCUCAUAAGUCUGUGGUUUAAGUCCGAAGCUUAACUUCGGUUCGCCACAGAAACUGUUUGGCUUGAGUAUGGUAGAGGCAAGUGGAAUUUCUAGUGUAGCGGUUAAAUGCGUAGAUAUUAGAAGGAACACCAGUGGCGAAGGCGACUUGCUGGGCCAUUACUGACGCUGAGGUACGAAAGCGUGGGGAGCAAAUAGGAUUAGAUACCCUAGUAGUCCACGCCGUAAACGUUGGAUACUAAGUGUCGGAGUUUCCGGUGCUGAAGUUAACACAUUAAGUAUCCCACCUGAGUAGUACGGUCGCAAGGCUG